rnacentral:rRNA from 1 species
UACGGGGGGGCAAGCGUUGUUCGGAAUUACUGGGCGUAAAGGGCUCGUAGGUGGCCAACUAAGUCGGACGUGAAAUCCCUCGGCUUAACCGGGGAACUGCGUCCGAUACUGGUUGGCUUGAGUUUGGGAGAGGGAUGCGGAAUCCAGGUGUAGCGGUGAAAUGCGUAGAGAUGUGGAGGAACACCGAUGGCGAAGGCAGCCCCCUGGGCUGAGAGUUGACGCUCAGGCACGAAAGCGUGGGGAGCAAACAGGAU